UUUCUUUCUUUCGUUUGUAUGAUUUUAUUAAACACUUCAAUUGCUUUAAUAUUUACAAAUGUAUACAAAUUUUUGGAAAUCGACUGAAGUGAAAAUUUAAAGCGUGAAAAACGAUGCACAAUGGCCAAAGGUAAAGCAACUACAACGGCGUCAACGGGAGAACUCGAACGUCCGCUUAUUUACUUAGCCAAUUGGUUUUGGACCGUCUGAUUUUUCCCACUUGCACUAAACAAUUGAAAAUGCUGGCAGCGAAAAUCGAAUGAAAAACCAACGGCUUCAAAGCAGAGGCGGCGAAGCUACGGCAAAAAUAUAAAAUAAUAACAAAGGGAAAUAGCAAUGACAGAAAAAGCGAACGGGCAUAGAAAGGAAAAAACAAUAAGCAGCACUGCCAGAUGCAAGUUUCUUUGAAAACGAAUGGAAAUACGAAUAGAAACUGUCAAGCAGCCAUAUUGUAUGUCAAUCGGCCAUCUUUAAUAAUUUUUAAAUUGCGAAAGUUUCGUUGUACUUACAUACUUAUAUGUGCAUUCAUUCAUUUAUUCAUUCAUUCAUUCAUUUAUGGCGCUGAAGCUGCAACUGUUGAACAUUCUUUUGACUGCGGCAAUGAACAACUUACCAUUUCCAUUAUACAAAAAAUUAAAUUCUUGAGGCCAUUAAUUGUUUAGCUGCUAAACUCAAUUUGCUCUUCGCCAACUUGUUUGCUUGCAAUUGCAAUAUUUUAUUGUUAUUGUUGUUAUUAUUAUAUAAUUUACAUUGGUAAGUACACACACACAUACAAUUAAAAUGUAUAUUCAAAUGUUAGCCAAUUAUAGCCAGAAAAUGAGCAACAUUUUGCCAUUCAAGUUACACAAUCGAUAGGAAUGUCUCAUCUCUAUGCUAAGCAUGUCCAAAGUCAUUAUCGAUUGCAUGCAACUCUUUUCAAAACUUUUGAAGCUCACUAAAGCUGCUUUUGUAGGGCCGGCCAUAUUUCUAUAUAUGUAUACAUAAUAUAUCAUUUUUAUUUUAUAUAUAUAUAUUUUUUU